CUCUUAUCAUACGCCGGCAAUCAUCUAACGUGCACCGUCCAUCACCAAUAGUUCUAAACACGUUAAACAACUCCUCCGCCGUUAUCUUUCCGUCAUGAUCGGCGUCAAAGAAAUCGAACGCAUUUCUCAGCUCAUCGUCACAAGCCGGCGGCCCAAACGCCGAGCUAAUGGCUCCGAACUCCUCUAAGCUAAUACACCCAUCUCCAUUCCUAUCUACUUCAUUAAGCAAUGAUAUUAAUUCCUCUUCGCUUGGUGGGUCGGGUCCAACUCGGGUCAGAAUAGCUUCAAGUUGUUCCUUCCGUAUCUUCCCGUCACCGUCACUGUCAAUCAUGUGAAAAGCUUGUAAGAUUUCAGACCAUUCGUCGGCUGAGAUUUCACUGGGUGGUAACACGCUGGUUGGCGUGGCUAGCCCAUUAGGUUUUUUGAAGCCGCGGUGGGAUUCGGAAUCGGAACAAGACGAGGUUGUGCCCGACCCGAAUGAUGGGUUUUCGGAUCU
rnacentral:lncRNA from 1 species